rnacentral:tmRNA from 1 species
UAACUUUGAACCGCGGACCAAAACCCCUAUAUUAGAAGUGUCGGGAAACCGACUACGGUGCUAAACGGGCACGCGGAAUAAGCGCAGCGGACCCGGGGGCAGUACCCGGCGCCUCCACCAGUUUCCUCCCGCGCCCAGCGGGAGCCUCAUGGGGGCGAAACAGGAUCGACGCGCGUGGUAAAGGUUUGCUCGGCGCCCGGCAUGGUACCGCCGUUAUCGGGCCGUUCUAUAGUUGCGAAUGACAACUAUGCUGAGGCGCGCCUCGCUGCCUAAGGGCGGC